GCAGAGCCAUACUCGACCGCUGCAGAGAAAGCAAGGUAAAAUUGUUACCCCCGAGAUAAAGUUGUAUGCAAGCUAUUCAGAAUACAGUUAGCAUUAGCAUACCAUGAGGUCACAUCUCAGAAAUGUGCACCCAAAUGAGCAUGGCAUAAUGUGUGGAAUUCCAGCUAAACAGUCACGUCUUGACACUUAACGUUACUUUGCAUCGCCCGCCACAAGCGCUUUGUCUGCAACACGACAAAAGGCCAUAACGGAUACAUUAAUUUCGUUCAUUUGUAGGGACAUGACCCAUCAGUGUCGUGGAUGGGGCAGGCUUCAGGGAGUUCUGUCAAGCAAUGGAUCCGAGUCACUUUGCUCUCACUGAUUGGUUUGUCUGUUUAUGUGGUACCAAUUUAUCACCCUGAAGAACAAACAAUGAAACUAUGGAUGGAGACAUUAAUAAUAUUGGGAUUAGUUGUUCUUGGAUGCCAGUCAGAUGACACAGUUGAUCAGCCACUUAAACAUGUUACUAAAUUUGAGGGAGAAUCAGUAACACUGGACUGCAAAUAUACUACAACCUCACCAUCACAAGAGCUUUUCUGGUACAUACAGAGAAGAGAAGAAUCUCCUAAACUUGUGUUACAGAGGAAUUCAUACGGAGGAGGAAGUAAUGGAACAGAGUUCCAGGAGAGAUUUUACUCUGAGGUGAAACCAACAAAAUCAGUUCCACUGAUGAUCCAGAGACUGUGUGUGUCUGACUCUGCUGUGUACUACUGUGCUUUGAGGCCCACAAUGUUAACAAGAUGCAUCUCUCUCAUACAAAAUCAACAUACAAACCUAAACACGGGAGAGAGGGGAAUGAAACGGCUGAGAUGUAACAGUUUAAUUUAUAAAUGAGCUACAAGAGUAAAAUAAUCACUAAGAGGUCCAAAACCAACUUUAAUCCAAGAAAAUAAAAUAUGAUGUCUGGUUAAUAAUAGUUUUAAUUGAGAUCAUGUUAAUGAAUGGUAAGUGACAAAACUGGUAUCAUCACUCUCAUUUUCUCAUGUUCAGUUUGAUA